rnacentral:sRNA from 1 species
GGAAAGUUUAAUGAUAAUGCCUGGCAUGAUGUGAAAGUCACCAGGAAUCUGCGUCAGGUGACAAUAUCAGUGGAUGGGAUUCUUACCACAACGGGCUACACGCAAGAAGAUUAUACCAUGCUGGGGUCUGAUGACUUUUUCUAUGUUGGAGGCAGUCCCAGCACAGCCGACCUUCCAGGGUCACCAGUCAGUAACAACUUUAUGGGCUGUCUCAAAGAGGUUGUAUAUAAAAAUAAUGAUGUGAGACUGGAAUUAUCUCGACUUGCCAAGCAAGGAGAUCCUAAGAUGAAGAUCCAUGGAGUGGUGGCAUUUAAAUGUGAGAAUGUUGCAACUUUAGACCCAAUCACCUUUGAAACCCCAGAAUCUUUCAUCUCUUUGCCUAAAUGGAAUGCAAAGAAAACUGGCUCCAUAUCAUUUGAUUUCCGUACAACAGAGCCAAAUGGCCUCAUCUUAUUUAGCCAUGGCAAGCCAAGACAUCAAAAAGAUGCCAAGCACCCACAGAUGAUAAAGGUGGACUUCUUUGCUAUUGAGAUGCUAGAUGGCCACCUCUACCUCCUCCUGGACAUGGGGUCAGGUACUAUAAAAAUAAAAGCCCUGUUGAAGAAAGUGAAUGAUGGAGAAUGGUAUCAUGUGGACUUCCAGAGAGACGGACGGUCAGGUACCAUUUCUGUCAACACGUUGCGUACUCCCUACACUGCUCCUGGUGAGAGUGAGAUUCUGGACCUGGAUGAUGAGUUGUACCUGGGGGGGCUGCCAGAAAAUAAAGCUGGCCUUGUCUUCCCCACCGAGGUGUGGACUGCUCUGCUCAACUAUGGCUACGUGGGCUGCAUCAGGGAUUUGUUCAUCGAUGGCCAAAGCAAAGAUAUCCGGCAAAUGGCUGAAGUUCAAAGUACUGCUGGAGUGAAGCCUUCCUGCUCAAAGGAAACAGCAAAACCGUGCCUUAGCAACCCUUGCAAAAACAAUGGCAUGUGCAGGGAUGGGUGGAACAGAUAUGUCUGUGAUUGUUCCGGAACAGGCUAUCUCGGCAGGUCCUGUGAGAGAGAGGCAACGGUUUUGAGCUAUGAUGGGAGCAUGUUUAUGAAAAUUCAGCUCCCCGUAGUCAUGCACACGGAGGCUGAGGAUGUUUCCUUACGGUUCCGAUCCCAGCGUGCAUAUGGCAUUCUAAUGGCAACCACUUCUAGAGACUCUGCUGACACCCUCCGCCUGGAGCUAGACGCAGGACGUGUGAAACUGACGGUCAAUCUAGAUUGUAUCAGGAUUAACUGUAAUUCCAGCAAAGGUCCCGAGACUCUUUUUGCCGGCUAUAACCUCAAUGAUAACGAGUGGCACACAGUGCGUGUAGUUCGGCGUGGAAAAAGUUUAAAGUUAACAGUGGAUGACCAACAGGCCAUGACAGGUCAAAUGGCAGGUGAUCAUACUAGACUGGAGUUCCAUAACAUAGAGACUGGCAUCAUCACAGAACGACGGUAUCUUUCUUCUGUCCCCUCCAACUUCAUUGGACACCUGCAGAGCUUGACAUUUAAUGGAAUGGCAUACAUUGACCUGUGUAAAAAUGGCGACAUAGAUUACUGUGAGCUCAAUGCCAGAUUUGGCUUCAGGAACAUCAUAGCAGAUCCUGUCACCUUCAAGACCAAAUCGAGCUAUGUUGCCUUAGCUACCUUGCAAGCCUACACUUCUAUGCAUCUUUUUUUCCAGUUCAAGACAACAUCACUAGAUGGACUAAUUCUAUAUAACAGUGGGGAUGGAAAUGACUUUAUUGUGGUUGAAUUAGUUAAAGGGUACUUACAUUACGUGUUUGAUUUGGGAAAUGGUGCUAACCUCAUCAAAGGAAGCUCAAAUAAACCUCUCAAUGACAAUCAGUGGCACAACGUGAUGAUAUCGAGGGACACCAGCAACCUGCACACUGUAAAGAUUGACACAAAAAUCACAACGCAAAUCACCGCCGGAGCCAGGAACUUAGACCUCAAGAGUGACUUAUAUAUAGGAGGAGUAGCUAAAGAAACAUACAAAUCCUUACCAAAACUUGUACAUGCCAAAGAAGGCUUUCAAGGCUGCCUGGCAUCAGUUGAUUUAAAUGGACGGCUUCCAGACCUCAUCUCCGAUGCUCUUUUCUGCAAUGGACAGAUCGAGAGAGGAUGUGAAGGGCCCAGCACAACCUGCCAAGAGGACUCAUGUUCCAAUCAAGGUGUGUGCUUACAACAAUGGGAUGGCUUCAGCUGUGACUGUAGUAUGACUUCCUUCAGUGGACCACUCUGCAAUGACCCUGGGACAACAUAUAUCUUUAGCAAAGGUGGUGGACAAAUCACGUAUAAGUGGCCUCCUAAUGACCGACCCAGUACACGAGCAGACAGACUGGCCAUAGGGUUUAGCACUGUUCAGAAAGAAGCUGUAUUGGUACGAGUGGACAGUUCUUCAGGCUUGGGUGACUACCUAGAACUGCAUAUAGAGGGGUGCUUACCAGGAUGGCCUGUUGGAUGGCCUUGCCUUGAAUUUGAUUCUUUGGCCAUUGUGAAGGAGUGAAGUGGAAAGGGCAUUGGAUCAUGAGGCCCAUACUUAGAUGCUAGCAGUGGCUCGAACACCUACUAUUACGUGGCUUAGCAAGUCACUGAUUUCUGAACCUCAAGUUCAUGAAGUAUAAUUUGAAGGCAAUAAUCUAUAGCCUACCCACAUUACAGGCUUGUUGAGAGGUCAUGUGGGUAAUAUAGUGAAAUUGUAGGCAAAUGAUAGCAUGCUACACUUGAGCUAAGUAUAGCAUAUUACUGUUUUAAUGGUUAUUAUUAUGAUUUUUUUAAAUUAUCAUUACUUCAAUGACUACAAGACUGGUUCUGUUGUUCUUCUGGCUUUUUAAAUAUUUGGACAUUUUCUCUUCUGAGAUAAAAUCGGUAAUUACAACAGCAAAUUUUUUUUUCUAAGAGCUUGACAUAUAGUAAUUUAUUUAAUCCUUCCAACAACAUUAUAAGGUAGGUAAUACUAUUAUGUUUUAUAGAACUUUUAAGAAGAUUACUGAAU